rnacentral:rRNA from 1 species
UACAGAGGUCUCAAGCGUUGUUCGGAUUCAUUGGGCGUAAAGGGUGCGUAGGCGGCGCGGUAAGUCGGGUGUGAAAUCCCGGGGCUUAACCCUGGAACUGCAUUUGAUACUGCCUUGCUGGAGAACUGGAGAGGAGACUGGAAUUUACGGUGUAGCAGUGAAAUGCGUAGAGAUCGUAAGGAAGACCAGUGGCGAAGGCGAGUCUCUGGACAGUUACUGACACUGAGGCACGAAGGCCAGGGGAGCAAACGGG